rnacentral:lncRNA from 1 species
UUGAUCUCCAGAAUGGCUGGAUCACUUCACAAAUUUACCAACAAUGCAUUAGCCCUACUCUCCCUCUCUAUUUCUCUUAAUCCUUCUGUGUAUCACAAUCAUCUCUCUCUGUCUUUGACCUUUUCUCUCUGUUACUCUCUCUAUCUCUUUGUAUGUACAUCUUCCCCCUUUCUGCCUCUUUCUGUAUCUGUGUCUCUCUCUCUGUCUGUCUCUCUGAUGAUGUGUGCAUUUUUGUUUAUCUCCUUUGUCUCUCUCAAUCUCUUCUUCUGUCUCUCUGUCUUUGUUUUUUUUAAUAUGUGUGUGUCUCAGUGUCUCUUUUUUCUCUCUCUUUUCCCAGCAAUUCUUCCCUCUCUCUUUCCCUCCCUCAACCUGCUCUGUUUGUCUCUCCUUUUCUGUCUUUAUCUCUCUCUCACCUGAUCUGUGUCUUUCAUUUCUCUCUCCCACUUCAUUCUUUCUCUUUUAUAAUUUCCAUAUUAUUUAUUUUUCAAAUUACAUGUAAAGAUUGUUUUAACAUUCAUUUUUUUUAAUUUAACAUUCAUUUUUGUAAGAUUUUGAAUUCCAAAUUAUCCCCACUCUCUCCAUUACUUCCCCAAACACCAAGCAGCCUGACAUAGGGCAUACAUGUACAAUCAUUUUAAACAUAUUUCCAUAUUAUGCAUCUUAUGCAAGAAAAACCAGACCAAAAGGGAAAAACCACAAGAGAGGAAAAAAAACCAACCAAAGGCUGAAAACACCCUUGUGCCGUCCACAUUCAAUUUCCAUACAUUUGGCAGCCAGUUGUCAUCCCAAGGCCACUGGAAUUACCCUGGACCCCUGGCCUUGCUCAGCAGGACCCAAGGCACAUCACAAAACUGACCAGCACAUAACCUUGUACCAUUUCUUAUUGAACAACAAGACUCCAUUACAUUCAGAUGCGAUCACUUAUUCAGCCAUUCCCCAAUCCAUGGGCAUCCCCUCAAUUUCCAGCUCCUUGCCACCCCAGAGGGCUUCUACAACCAUUUUUGCACAGGUGGGUCCCUUCCCCUCUUUUCUGAUCCCUUAGAGACAGAAACCCAGUAGUGAGACUGCUGGGUCAAAGGGUAUGCACACUUUGAUAGCCCUUUGAACAUAGUUCCCAAUUGAUCUCCAGAAUGGCUGGAUCAGUUCACAAAUUUACCAAGGCAUUAGCCCUACUCUCCCUCUCUAUUUCUCUUAAUCCUUCUGUGUAUCACAAUCAUCUCUCUCUUUCUGUCUCUGAGUCUCUGUCUCUUUUUCCCUGUCUCCCUCUCCCUCUCCAGUGCAUCUCUCUUUUUCCCUCUCUCUUACUCUCUCUGUGUCUAUCUCUUUGUAUGUAUAUCUUCCGCCUUUCUGUCUCUUUCUGUGUCUGUGUCUCUCUGUCUCUGUCUCUCUGAUCUGUGCAUUUUUGUUUAUCUCCUUUGUCUCUCUCAAUCUCUCCCUCUGUCUCUCUUUUUCUUUGUCUCUAUGGGUCUGUGUGUGUCUCGGUGUCUAUUUAUUCUCUCUCUUUUCCCAUCAAUUCUUUUAUCUCUCUUUCCCUCCCUCAACCUGCUCUGCUGGUCUCUCCUUUUCUGUCUUUAUCUCUGUCUCACCUGAUCUUUGUCUAUUUCUACAUGUCUGUCUGUGUCUCUCAUUUCUCUCUCCCACUUCAUUCUAUCUCUCUUAUAAUUUCCAUAUUAUUUAUUUUUCAAAUUACAUGUAAAGAUUGUUUUAACAUUCAUUUUUUUUUAAUUUAACAUUCAUUUUUGUAAGAUUUUGAAUUCCAAAUUAUCCCCACUCUUCCCUUACUUCCCCAAACACCAAGCAGCCUGACAUAGGACAUACAUGUACAAUCAUUUUAAACAUAUUUCCAUAUUAUGCAUCUUUUCAAGAAAAACCAGACCAAAAGGGAAAAUCACGACAAAGGAAAACAAACCAACCAAAAAGCUGAAAACACCACUGUGCCGCUCACAUUCAAUUUCCAUACAUUUGGCAGCCAUUUUUCAUUCCAAGGCCACUGGAAUUACCCUGGACCCCUAUCUUGCUCAGCAGGACCCAAGGCACAUCACAAGACUGACCAGCACAUAACCUUGUACCAUUUCUUAUUGAACAACAAGACUCUGUUACAUUCAGAUGCCAUCACUUAUUCAGCCAUUCCCCAAUCGAUGGGCAUCCCUCAAUUUCCAGCUCCUUGCCACCCCAGAGGGCUUCUACAACCAUUUUUGCACAGGUGGGUCCCUUCCCCUCUUUUAUGACCCCUUUCAGACAGAAACCCAAUAAUAAGACUGCUGGGUCAAAGGGGAUGCACAGUUUGAAAGCCCUUUGAGCACAGUUCCCAAUUGAUCUCCAGAAUGGCUGGAUCAGUUCACAAAUUUACCAACAAUGCAUUAGCACUACUCUCCCUCUCUAUUCCUCUUAAGCCUUCUGUGCAUCACAAUUAUCUCUCUCUUUCUGUCUCUGAGUCUCUGUCUCUUUUUCUCUCUCUUUUACUGUCUCCCUCUCCAGUGCAUCUUUUUCCCCUGUCUCUUACUCUCUCUGUGUCUAUCUCUUUGUAUGUAUGUCCUCCCCUUUCUGUCUCUCUGUGUCUGUCUGUCUAUCUGUCUCUCUCUCUCUCUCUCUCUCUGUUUCUCUGAUUAUCUAUGCAUUUUUGUUUAUCUCCUUUAUCUCUCUCAAUCUCUCCCUCUGUGUCUCUUUGGCUUUGUCUCUAUGUGUCUGCGUGUGUCUCAGUGUCUCUUUUUUCUCUCUUUUCUCACCAAUUCUUCUAUCUCUCUUUCCCUCCCUCAACCUGCUCUGUUUGAAUCUCCUUUUCUGUCUUUAUCUCUGUCUCACCUGAUCUGUGUCUAUUUCUACAUGUCUGUCUUUGUCUCUCAUUUCUCUCUCCUCACUUCAUUCUCUCUCUCUCUUAUAAUUUCCAUAUUAUUUAUUUUUCGAAUUACAUAUGAAGAUUGUUUUUAACAUUCAUUUUUGUAAGAUUUUGAAUUCCAAAUUAUCCCCACUCUUCCCUUACUUCCCCAAACACCAAGCAGCCUGACAUAGGGCAUACAUGUACAAUCAUUUUAAACAUAUUUCCAUAUUAUGCAUCUUUUCAAGAAAAAUUCCAAGACCAAAAAAUUCAAGACCAAAAGGGAAAAUCACGACAAAGGAAAACAAACCAACCAAAAGCUGAAAACACCAUUGUGCCACUCACAUUCAAUUUCCAUACAUUUGGCAGCCAUUUUUCAUCCCAAGGCCACUGGAAUUACCCUGGACCCCUGUUUUGCUCAGCAGACCCAAGGCACAUCACAAGACCGACCAGCACAUAACCUUGUACCAUUUCUUAUUGAACAACAAGACUCUGUUACAUUCAGAAGCCAUCACUUAUUCAGCCAUUCCCCAACUGAUGGGCGUCCCCUCAAUUUCCAUCUUGCAACCACAAAAAAGGGCUGCAAUAACCAUUUUUGAACAUGUGGGCUUUCCCCCUCUUUUAUGAGUUCUUUGGGAAAGAAACCCAGUAGUGAGACUGCUGGGUCAAAGGGUAUGCACAGUUUCAUAGCCCUUUGAGCAUAGUUCCCAAUUGAUCUCCAGAAUGGCUGGAUCAGUUCACAAAUUUACCAACAAGUCAUUAGCCCUACUCUCCCUCUCUAUUUCUCUUAAUCCUUCUGUGCAUCACAAUCAUCUCUCUCUUUCUGUCUCUGAGCCUCUGCCUCUCUUUUUUUCUCUGUCUCCCUCUCCCUCUGCAGUGCAUCUCUCUUUUUCCCUCUGUCUCUCUGUUCUCUCUGUGUGUCUAUCUCUUUGUAUAUCUUCCCCCCUUUCUGUCUCUUUCUAUGUCCGUGUGUGUGUGUGUCUUUCUCUGUCUGUAUCUCUAAUUAUCUGUGCAUUUUUGUUUAUCUCCUUUGUCUCUCUCAAUUUCUCCCUCUGUCUCUCUGUCUUUGUCUCUAUGGGUCUGUGUGUGUCUCGGUGUCUAUUUUUUUAUCUCUCUUUUCCCAUCAAUUCUUUUAUCUCUCUUUCCCUCCCUCAAUCUGCUCUGUUUGUCUCUCCUUUUCUGUCUUUAUCUCUGUCUCACCUGAUCUGUGUCUAUUUCUACAUGUCUGUCUGUGUCUCUCUCAUUUCUCUCUCCUCACUUCACUCUUUCUCUUUUAUAAUUUCCAUAUUAUUUAUUUUUCAAAUUACAUGUAAAGAUUGUUUUUAACAUUCAUUUUUUUAAUUUAACAUUCAUUUUUGUAAGAUUUUGAAUUCCAAAUUAUCCCCACUCUCUCCGUUACGUCCCCAAACACCAAGCAGCCUGACAUAGGACAUACAUGUACAAUCAUUUUAAACAUAUUUCCAUAUUAUGCAUCUUUUCAAGAAAAAUCAGACCAAAAGGGAAAACCACGACAAAGGAAAACAAACCAACAAAAAGCUGAAAACCCACUUCUGCCGUCCACAUUCACUUUCCAUACAUUUGGGAGCCACCCCAAGUCCUCUGGAAUUGCCCUGGACCCCUGUUUUGCUCAGCAGGACCCAAGACACAUCACAAGAGUGACCAGCACAUAACCUUGUACCAUUUCUUAUUGAACAACACUACAUUCAGAUGCCAUCACUUAUUCAGCCAUUCCCCAAUCAAAGGGCAUCCCUCAAUUUCUGGCUCCUUGCAACCACAAAAAGGGCUGCUACCACCAUUUUUGUCCAUGGGAGGCCUUUUCCCUCUUUUAAGACCUCUUUGGGAUAAAGACCCAUUAGUGAGACUGCUGGAUCAAAGAGUAUGUAAUUUGAUGGCCCUUUGGGCGUGGCUCCCAAUUGAUUUCCAGAAUGGCUGGAUCAGUUCACAAAUCCAACAAUGCAUUUGUCUCAAUAUCUCUCUCUCUCUGUUUCUCUUUUGCUCUCUCCUCCCUGUAGUUCUCCCUCUCUCUCUCAAUUCUUCUCUCUGCACCUCUAUCUCAUCUCUGUACGUGUGUGUCCUAUCUCACUGUCAACCCAUCUCUUUCCUCCUGCUCCCUUUUUUCUCUCAGUCUGUGUGUGUGAGACAUUUCCCUGUCUCACUGUCUCUCUUUAUGACUGUCUCGCUGUUCCCUCUGUCUCCAACACCUCUCUCUCUCCCUCUUUCCUUUUCUCUCUCAAUAUCUCUUUCCCUUGGUCUCUGUCUCUGCUUUUGUGUCCCUCCCUCUCUCUCUCUUUCUUUUCCCCUCUUCUCUCUCAGUCUCUCCCUCUAUGUCUUUGACUGUCUCUUCCUCUCCCAUUCUCUGCCCCACUUCCCCAUUUCACUGUGUCUCUUGUCCCUCUCCAAUAUGAUUCUCUCCUCCUCCUCCUCCUCCCUUUUCUCUCUCAAUCUCUCUCUUUCUCUUGGCUCUGUCUCUGCCUGUGUGUCCCUCCCUCCUCUCUCAGUCUCUUUCCCUUUAUGUCUCUGACUCUGUCUCUUCCUCUCCCUCUCUCGGCUUCACUUCCCCAUUUCACUGUCUCUCUUGUCCCUUUCCAAUUUGAUUCUCUCCUCCUCCCUUUUCUCUCUCAAUCUCUCUCUUUCUCUUGGUUUCUAUCUCUGUCUCUGCCUGUGUCUCCCUCCCUCCUCUCAGUCUCUUUCCCUUUAUGUCUCUGACUGUCUCUUCCUCUCCUUCUCUCGGCCCCACUUCCCUGUUUCACUAUCUCUCUUGUCCCUCUCCAACAUGUCUCUCUCCCCUUCCUCCUUUUUCUCUUCCCUCUCUCUCUCCCUUUCUCCCCUCUCUCUGUAUGUCUCUCUCUUACUCUCCAGCACAUCUUUCACUCUCCUCCCUUCUUUCUUUCAAAAUUUCUAUAUCUCCAUUUCUCUCUCUCUUUAGUACUCUCUCUUUCCGUCUCUGUAUUUGUGUCUCCCUCUGUCUCCUGUCUCUCCAUUUCUCUUUGUCUUUCUCUCCUUCCAUCUUUCUCUCUGUGUCUAUCUCUAUCUUUCUGUGUCUAUGUAUGUAUGAAUGUGUCUGUCUCUCUAUCAUGUUUCUCUCUCCAUGUCUCCCUCCCCCUCCUCCUCCUCUAUCUCUUUCCUUCUAUGUCUCUCUGUAUCGGUCUCCACUCCCAUCUCAUCCCCUUAGUGCCCCUCUCUCCUUCCAUCCCUCUCUCUGUGUCAGUCUCUGAGAUUGCUUUCUUCCUCCCUCCAUCUCCCCUAGAUCUUUCCUUAGCUUGCUUGCUCUCUCCUUUCUGUCUUUCCUAGUGUUUCUCUCACCCUGCCCCUCUCUCUCUCUCUCUCCUCUUCCUCCCUUUUCUCUCUCCCCAUAUCUCUCCCUCCAUGUGUUUGUCUGUCUCUCUCCUCCCCUUCUUGUCUCUUUUUCAUGUCUGCUUGUCUACUUUUCUGUCUUCCUGGCUCUCUGUGUAUAUGUGUCCCAUUCUCUGUCUCUCUCCAACACAUCUCUCUCCCUCUUCUCUCUCAAUCUCUCUCUUUCCCUCUAUGUCUCUGUCUCUUCCUGUCCCUGUCUCUGCCCCAUUUCCCUAUCCCACUCUAUCUCUGUCUCUUUCUGUUUCUGGCUAACAUUUCUUUCUCCAUAUAUAUCUCGCUUAACCUCAGCCUCUCUCUCUCCUCCCACCCUUGUCUGUCUCUGUCUCUUCCUUUCUCCCUGUCUAUCUCUGUCUGUGUGUGUGUUGCUCUAUCUCCAUCUAUCACUCCUACGUCUCUUUUUCUGUUUUUCCUUCUAACUCUCCUUCUCCCUAUAGCUCUCCCUCUCUGCCUUAGUUCUUCUCAGUGUCUCUUUAUCUCUGUGUCUCUCUCUCCCUUCCUCUCUCUUUCCUUCAGUGUCUCUCUUUCCAUUUCCAUCUGUCUGUCUCUCCCUCUCUGUCUCUCUCCCUUGGCCUCAGUUUCUCCCCUCUAUCUCCAUACCUAUCUCUAUCUCUCUAUCUCAGUAUCUGUGCGUCUCCCCCCUCCAGCAUAGCUUUCCCCUCUCCUUUUUUCUCUCAGUCUCUCUUUGCUUCUGUCUCUCUUUCAUUCUUUCUUUAUCCCUGUGCAUGUUUGUGUCUACCUCUACCUCUGUCCCUCAGUUUCUCUCUAUUUUUUCUCUGGUCUUUUUGUUCUUCCAUCUAUCAUAUGUCUGUUUCUCUCUAGCACAUCUCUCUCCUGCUCCUCCCUCUUCUCUCAAUUUCUCUUUCCCUCUCUUUCUAUCUCUCUGGCCCCUCUCUGUGUGUCUGUAUAUGUGUGUGUCUCUCCGUAUCUCUCUUUCUGUCUGUUUCUCUGUUUCUCUCUCUGUUUCCCUCCCUCUCUCAAAUGUGUAUGUUUGUCUCCCUGUCUCUCUCCAGCACAUUUCUUUCCUUUUCCUCCCUUUUCUCUCUUUGUCUAAGCCUGUCUCUCUCCCUCUCUCUCAUCUGUGUAUGUUUCUCUCCCUGUCUCUGUCUCUCUCCCACUCUCUCUCUCUAGCACAUUUCUUUCCCCUUCCUCCCUCUUCUCUGUCUCUUACUCUUUUGCUCUGUUCCACUUCCAUCUGUCUCUGUGUUCUUGCAUAUGAGCCUCUCUCUACCUGUCUCUCUCCAGGACAGUUUUCCCUCUCCUCCCUUUUCUCUCAGUCUCUCUACAUCUGUCUCUCCUUCUUUGCUCCACUUAACUAUCUCUAUUCUGUCUCUGCCUCUGUCUUCCCUCCCCUUUCUUUCCGUCUCUCUCCUGCCAUCUCUCUUUUCUCUAUUUGUGUGUGAAUCUGUGUCUCCUCUGCCUCCAUUUCUCUCCGUCUCUCUCCCCUCAAAUGUCUGUUUUUCCCUCUCCUCCUUUUCUUCUUCCUCACUGUCUCUUUCUCUUUCCUUCCCUUAACCUUCUGUUUCUCUCCUCCUCCCUUGUCUCUUUUCCUGUCUCCUCCCCUCCCUGUGUCUCUUCUUUUCUCUCUCUCCCCAACAUGUCUCUCCCACAUUCCCUUUUCUUUCUCAAUCUCUUUCCCUCUAUGUCUCUAUCUUUUCCCUCUGCUUCACUUCCUUAUCUGUCUCUCUCUAUUUCUGUCUCUAUCUUUCUGUCUCUGCCUGUGUGUGCAUUUGUCUCUCUCUGCAUCUUUAUCUCUGUCUCUCAGCCUCUCUGUCUCUCUCCUACACAUUUCUCCCCUCCCACUCCCUUUUCUCUCAGUCUCCUUCCCUCUAUAUCUGUCUCUACCUCUUCCUCUCUCUCUACCCAAUUCCUCGUCUCUCUCCCUGUUUGUUUCCUCCUUCUCUUUCCCUUUGAUUCUUUCUCUCUUUCUGUUUUUUCUGUCUCUGUUUCUAUCUCUCCAUGUCUCUUUUUGUGUAUGUGUCUGUCUCUCCCCUUCCUCCCUUUACUUUCUCAGUCUCUUUCCUUAUCUCUCUCUCUGAGCUCUUUCCCUUGCUCCCUCCUCCUUCCACCUCACUCUCACUGUCUCUUUCUGUCUCUCUUUAUCUUUCUCUCUUUCCCUCUUUAUCUCCCUCUCUACCUUUCUCUGUAUCUCUAUUUCUGUUUCUCUUUAUCUCUCUAUUCCUGUGUCUCUCUCUGUUUCUCUGUGUUUUUAUCUCCCUGUCUCUCUCCAACACAUUUCUUUCUCCCCCCCCCCUUCCUUCUUUCCAGUCUCUCUUUCCCUCUAUGUCUCUGUCUCUCUGUGCCUUUUCCUCUCCCUCUCUGCCCCAUUUCCUUCUCUGCCUCUGUGUCCCUCUCUCUGUAUCUCUCUAACAUACCCCUAUCCCCUUCCUCCCUUUUUUCUCUCAAUCUCUCUUUCCCUCUAUGUCUCUGUCUCUCUGUGCCUUUUCCUCUCCCUCUCUGCCCCAUUUCCUUCUGUCUCUCUGUGUCCCUCUCUCUGUAUCUCUCCAGUGCACCUCUAUCCCCUUCCUCCCUUUUUUCUCUCAAUCUCUCUUUCCCUCUGUGUCUCUCACUUCCCCUCACUCGUUCUCUGCUGUCUCUAUAACCACCCUUCUCUCUCUUUCCCUCUCUUCUCUAUCUCUUCUCCUCCCUCUAUCGUCUCACUUUCGGUCUCUCCAUCUCUCCUUGUCUUUCUCUUCUCUUCCCCCCCGCUGUCCCAUCUCUCUCAAGUCCACUUCUGUAUCUCUCUCUUCCUCCACCUCUCUUUUCUGUCUCUCCACUUCCCUCCUUCCUCUUGUCCCUUUCUGUCCCUCUCUGCCUUCCUGUCUGCAUCUGUCUCUCUCUGACCUCUCUUUCUAAACAUUUCCAUAGUAUUUUAUUUUUCAUGUAAAGUUACACAUACAGAUUAUUUUCAACAUUCAUUUUGGUAAGAUUUUGAAUUGUACAUUCCCCCCCUCCCCAACACAGCAAGGUUAUACAUGUACAAGCCCUUUAAACAUAUUUCCACAUUAGUCAUGUUGUGCAAAAAAACAGAAAAGGGAAAAAUCAGAAGACAUUAAAAGCAAAGAAAAAAGAGCAAAUCCUCUGCUUUGAUCCCCAUUCAGUCUCCACAGUUCUCUCUCUGGACGCGGACGGCUCUCUCCCUCCCAAAUCUAUCGGAAUUGCUCGGAUCCCUGUAUUGCUGAGAAGAGCUAAGUCCAUCCCAGUUGAUCCUGGAACAACGAAGCUGUCACUGUGUACAGUGAUCUCCUGGAUCUGCUCGCUUAAGUCCAUGUAAAUCCUGCCACACUUUUCUGAAAUCAGCCUGCUCACUACUCCCAGGGCAGUAAUAUUCUAUCACUUAUUCAGCCAUUCCCCAGGCAGGGGGCAGCCCUUCCAUUUCCAACUCCUUGCCAGCACAAAGAGUUUCUACAAACAGUUUUGCACAUGGGGGUCCUUUCCCCUCUUUUGUGAUCUCUUUGGGGUACAGACCCAGCAGUGAGACUGCCGAGUCAAAGUUUGCCAGCCCUUUCGGGCAGAGGUCCAAAUUGCUUUGCAGAAUGGCUGAAUCAGUUCACAAAUCCACCAACAAUGCAUUAGCCUCACACUCUGGGUUUCUCUCUCCCUCACUCUAUUACUCUAUGUCUGUCUCUCUGAUCCCUGUCUCUGUGUCUUGCUGUGUCUUUCUUUUUCUCUGUAUCCCUCUCUCUCCUCCCUUCUAUCUUUCCUUUCCAUUUCCUCCAUUCACUGUCAAUAUGUCUUUGUGUCUGUCUCUGUGUGUCUCUAUCAUCUCUGUCUCUCUGAAUGUCUCUCCCUGUUUCUGUUUGUCUCUCUCAAUCUGUCUGAAUGUGUUUCUUCCUGUGCCUCUCUCCCUUUCCCUGUGUCUCCUCUCUAUUCUUCAUUUUUCAUUGUCUUCAUCUCUCUCUGACUUUGUCCCUCUGUGUGUCUGUCUCUAUCUCUCUUGCCUCUCUGUCUGUGUCUCUGUUUGUAUGUCUCUCUGUCUCUGUGUAUCACUAUCUCUCUUGUGGUGUGGGUGUCUCUAUUUAUCUGUCUCUGUCUCCCCCCUCUCCUUUCCUCCUCUCCAUUUUUCAUUGUCAUCAUCUUCUCUCUCCCUCCCUCCUUCUCCCUUUUACCUUUCUGUGUGUCUGUCUGUCUCUGCUUUCCUGUCUGUAUUCUCUCUGUAUGUCUCUCCUCUCUCCUUUUCAUGUCAUCUUCUCCCAUCUCUUGUGUCUGUCUUUUUCUCUCUCUGUGCUCUCUUUUCUCUUCGUAAUUUUUCAUUGUUCUCAUUCCUCCUCCCCCCUGUCUCUCUCUCUGUCUCUGUGCUUGGCUGUCUAUCUCUGUGCUCAUGUCUGUGUCUCUGUGCUUGGUUGGCUGUCUCUGUGCUCGUCUGUUUCUCUCUGUCUCUGUGCUAAUGUCUCUUUGUUUCUGUGCUUGGCUGUCUCUCUGUGUCUCUGUGCUUGACUAUCUACUCAUCUGUCUCUCUGCUCAUCUGUCUCUUUCUAUCUUUGUGCUAGGCUGGCUAUUUCUGUCUCUGCACUUAACUGUCUAUCUCUGUGCUGGGCUGUCUCUCUGUCUCUGUGCUCGGCUGGCUGUCUGUUCACGUCUCUGUCUGUAUGCUUGGCUGGCUAUUUCUCUCUGUGUGUCUGUGUUUGGCUGUGUCUCUGCUCAUCUAUCUCUCUGUCUCUGUGCUUGGCUGUCUCUUUCCUUAUCUGUCUCUGUGAUCAUCUAUCUCUGCUCAUUUCUCUCUGAUUAUCUGUCUCUGCUUGGCUGGCUGUCUCUGUCUCUGUGCUUGUCUAUCUGCUCAUCUGUCUGUCUCUCUCUGUGUCUCUGUGUUUGACUGGCUGUCUCUGUACUUGACUGUCUCUCUGCUCAUUUGUCUGUCUGUGCUCAUCUCUCUGUGCUUGUCUAUCUCUCUGCUCAUCUGUCUCUAUCUCUGUGCUCACUUGUGUGUCUCUGUGCUUGUCCAUCUCUUUCUCUGCUCAUCUGUCUCUGUGCUUGUCUAACUCUCUCUGCUCAUCUGUCUCUGUCCUCACUUGUGUGUCUCUGUGCUUGUCUAUCUGUCUAUUCAUGUCUCUCUCUGCUUGGCUGUCUCUGUGCUUGGUUGGCUGUCUCUGCCUCUGUACUUGUCUAUCUCUCUGCUUGUUUGUCUCUGUCUCUCUCUGCUCAUCUAUAUAAUUAUGCUUGGCUGGCUGUCUCUGUGCUUGUCUAUCUGCUUGUUUGUCUCUCUGUCUCUGUGCUUGUCUAUCUAUCUGCUUGUCUGUCUCUCUGUCUCUGUGCUUGUCUAUCUAUCUGCUUGUCUGUCUCUCUGUCUCUGUGCUUGUCUAUCUAUCUGCUUGUCUGUCUCUGUGCUUGUCCAUCUAUCUGCUUGUCUGUCUCUGUCUCUGUGCUUGUCUAUCUAUCUGCUUGUCUGUCUCUGUCUCUGUGCUUGUCUAUCUCUGUCUCUGUGCUUGGCUGGCUAUCUCUUGUCUCUAUACUUGAUUGUUUCUCUGCUUGUCUCUCUGCUCAUCUGUCUCUCUCUCUGCUCAUUUAUCUGUCUCUGCUCAUCUGUCUCUGUACUUGGCUGUCUCUGUCUCUGUGCUUGACUGUCUUAUUUCUCUGCUCAUCUUUCUCUCUGUGUGCUCAUCUGUCUGUCUCUGUCCUCAUCUAUCUCUCUGUCUCUGUGCUCAUCUGUCUGUCUCUGUGCUUGUCUAUCUCUCUGCUUGUUUCUCGGCUCAUCUGUUUCUCUCUCUCUGCGCUCAUCUGUCUCCGUGCUCAUCUAUCUCUCUGUCUCUGUGCUUGUCUAUCUCUCUGCUUGUUUCUCUGCUCAUCUGUUUCUCUCUGCUCAUUUGUCUGUCUCUGUGCUCAUCUGUCUCUUCUCUGUGUCUCUGUGCUCAUCUGUGUGUCUCUAUGCUUGGCCGUCUCUAUUUCUGUGCUUGUCUAUCUCUGUGCUUGUCUGUCUGUCUCUCUGCUAUAUCUAUCUGAUUCUGUGCUUGGCUGGCUGUCUUUGUGUCUCUGUGCUUGACUGUCUCUCUCUGUUCAUCUGUCUGUCUAUCUCUCUCUCUGUACUUGUCUGUUCGUCUGUCUCUGUCUAUGCUCAUCUCUCUGUCUCUGUACUUGGCUGUCUCUCUGGGCUUGUCUAUCUCUCUGCUUAUCUGUCUAUCUCUGUGUUAAUCUGUCUCUGUGCUCAUCUGCCUCUUUCUCUAUCUCUACACUCAUCUGUCUCUCUCUGUGCUUGGCUGUCUGUGUCUCUGCUUGUCUAUCUCUCUGCUCAUCUGUCUCUAUCUCUGUGUUAAGCUCUCUGUCUCUGUGCUCAUCUCUCUCUGUGCUUGGCUGUCCCUCUGUGUCUCUGUUUGUUUAUCUGCUUGUCUGUCUCUCUCUGUGCUUGGCUGUCUGUAUGUCUCUGCUUGUCUAUAUCUUUGCUCAUCUUGUCUCUAUCUCUGUGUUAAUCUCUCUAUCUCUGCUCAUCUGUCUCUCUCUGUACUUGGCUGUCCCUCUGUGUCUCUGUGUUUUGUCUAUCUGCUUGUUUGUCUCUCUGCUCAUCUGUCUCUAUAUCUGUGUUAAUCUCUGUGUCUCUGCUCAUCUGUCUCUCUCUGUGCUUGGCUGUCUCCUUUGUCUCUAUGCUUGUCUAUCUCUCUGCUUGUCUGUCUCUGUGCUCAUGUCUCUCUCCAUCUCUGUGCUCAUCUGUCUCUCUAUCUCUGCUCAUCUGUCUCUUUGCUUGGUUAGCUGUCUCUUUGUCUUUGUACUUGUCUGUCUCUCUACUCAUCUAUCUGUCUCUAUGCUUCUCUGUCUGUGUGCUCAUCUGUCUCUCUGCUAUAUCUAUCUGAUUUUGUGCUUAACUGGCUGUCUCUGUGUCUCUGUGCUUGACUGUCUCUGUAUCUGUCUGUGCUUGUCUAUCUCUGUCUCUCUGCUCAUCUGUUUCUCUGUCUCUGCUUGACUGUCUCUCUGUACUUGUCUGUCUCAUGCUUGUCUCUCUGUGUAAUUGUUUGUCUUUCUGUCCCUGUGCUUGUCUGUCUCUGUCUCUCCCCUCUCCUUUCCUUCUCUUUUUUUCAAUGUCGUCAUCUUCUCUUCCCUGUCUCCUUCUCUUUGUAUCCGUGUGUCUCUGUCUGUGUGUGUGUGUCUGUCGCUCCCUCCCUCCCACCUCCUCCUCUUUCUUUCCCGUCCUUCUCUCUCAUUUAUCACUCACAUCUCAAUCCAUGGUAUUCUGCCUUCAGACCUGGGCGCUCCAUGGCAACAGCUGUCUCCAUGGUUACCAGCAGUCCUUUACCUGCUCCGGGUCCACAGCCUGCUCUAUAGGACAGCGGGUGAUGGCUCCUCCCUCCAGGCUAUUUUCUCCUCCCUGCAUUUUUGUGCCAUGACAUUGUUCUUUCCGGGCUCCACCCAGCCGCCCCCUAGCCGUUCUGUCCGAGGGCCCUUUGCAAGGUCAUCAUCGAAUUUUAGAGCUGGAAGGGAUAUCAACAGCCCUCUAGUCUAGCGCUGGAUGUGGAGUCAGGAAGAUAGGAGUUCAAAUCUAGCCUCAGGCACUUAACAGUUAUGUGACUGGACAAGUCACUUCAUUCUGUCUGCUUUUAUUUUUUUCAAUUUUUUUAUUGGAUCAAAAUAGCACCUUAUUCCCUUGGUUCUCUUAAGGCGAGUGAUAACAUAUUUGUAGAGUGCUCCACACAGUGCCUGGCAUGUAGAUGGUGCUUAAUAAGUGCUUCUUUCUUGGCCUCUGAGGUCCCUUCUAGCUCUAAAUUGAUGAUCCUUUGAUCCUAAUCCUAAUCUAACCUUUAACCCCCCAAAAAGAAAUUGCUCCUAUAAAACUAUACCAUACUGCACAUGUAGUCAUCCAACCUGUUUUAAAGACUUCAAAUGGGGGAAGAGAGAAAGAAAGAGAGCUCCUAAGAGAAAACUUGGAAAUUGGGUCUCAUCCCCUUACUGUCUGUGUGAUUCUGCUCUAGUCCCUUAACCCGGGGGGGGGGGGGGGGAAGGGGGUUUCAGUUUCCUUAUCUGUAAAAUGAGAAGGCGAUGGCAAGCCACUGAGGAAUCUCUGCCAAGAAAAGCCAAAAUGGGCUUCACUUACAAGACUUUUCAGGGCAGCCACUUGUCAUCUACUUAUCAAUAGCUCUUAAUCGUUAGGAAUCAUCAGCUUUCAAUUGGCUUAUUUGUCAUUUCCCCCAUUGUUUAGGUUCAGCCGCAAGGAUCAAUCAAAACAAAUUCAAUCCCUCCCCGCCCCCCCACCCAAGAGCCUUUCUAACAGCUGAAGACAGUCGUCAUCAUCUUCCCCUCCCCACAGAAUUCUCUCCUUUAACCUGAUCGUGCCCAUGGACUUCAAGGGAUUCUCGUGGCAAAGGCCUUUUGCUUUGUAGAUCGCCCUCCACUGGACAUCCUCCAUUUUAUUCAUGUCCCACUACUCCCUAGGGUGCCAGAAGUGGUCCCACCACUGCUGACUCAUAGUGAGCUGGCAAUAUACCAAGUCUGCAGCUCUUUUUCAGACAAACUGCUGUCUCGGUUUGUGCUUGGCAAGGUGACGUCUAGAGCCCCAGUGUAAUACUUUUUCAAGUCAGACCAGUGUUCCAGCCUAGCUAGAUCUUUGGAGAUCUUGUCACCCAGAGUGUCAGCCCUCUCUCCCAUCUAUACCUUUAUCCAAGUCACUGAUUAAAAAAAAAUUUUUUUAAAUUGUUAAUUAGCAGCCCAGAUCUCUGGGGCCCUCCACUGGAGACCUCCUCCCAAGUGGAUACAAAAGCAGUAAUGUUGUUAUCAGAGCCUUCCAUCCUCAACAUUGGCUCUCUCUUCUUGAUCCCCACAAGGGUUAGAAAGGAAAAAAAAAUCCACCUGUUUUAUUUGUAAUGAGAAUUAAAGCUGAGCUGCCAUAAAAAUAAUUAUUAUAUAUUCUUUAACAUGUGGAUCUGUUAUAAUUAAUAUAAUUAAUGUAUGACUGUUUUAUUAUUCAUAAUAACUGGAAUUAGGUGUCAGAGUGGAUAGAGCAUCAAUCCUCGAGUCAGGAAAACAUGAGUUUAAAUCUUACCUCAGACACUUAUUAGCUACGUGAUUGGGGCAAAUCACUUCGGUUUGCCUCAGUUUCCUCAUCUGUAAAAUGGAGAUGUUAAUAGCACCUACCUCCCAGGGUGGUUGUGAGGAUCAGGUGAGACAGCCCCGUCCACAUUCUUUCCAUUGCACAGUGCUCAAAGAGAUAAAUAAGAAAGCUUUUGAGACUAGGACUGAUUGUUCUGAAUAAGAAUAGCAGGUGAAGGAGAUGCUAUCCCUUGAUUAAAGUACAGGAAAGAAGAUACCAAACAAGUUCAAUUGGGCUGUUUUCCCCCCAUCCCGCUGCAUACUUAAAACCCAAGCCAAAAUAAUACCUCGAGUUAAUUUUUAACAGCAUAGCUAACGUGCUAAUCAAUGGAAGAGCUUCCUUGAAACACAUUUUGCUAUAGAGAAAUGUAUCCGAUCCAUUUACAUCCAGACUGGCAGCUUUUAGGAAAAGCCCGAGACCCCAACCCUUCAAGGCUGUUCCCUCUGCUCCCGAUCUGCCCCACCCUCCCAGCUCAAAAAUGAGCCCCAAGCAUCUAUUUGGACGUAAAUAGGAAAAUCACCUGCUGUUUCCUCCAUUUCAUGCUCCCCUAAUCAUGGCUGUCUCCCCAAAAUGUGCUCCGGAUCCCCUUCGAUCUUCCCGACCUCGGCCCCUCCCACCAGAUGAUUUCUACGCAGUCAUUCUAGCGAAGACUCCAUAGACUGACUGUCAAGCCCACAUGACUGGCUCUUUUUCACCAAAUCGGGGGCCAUUUGCGCCUCGAUGGCGUCUACGCAUCUCAAAUUCGACGUAUUUCUUCUCCCGACCCCCUUCCCGGGAACCCUAGGGUUCCUUCAGUCUUCCCUCUAUGAGGUCAUCCAUAAUUCUUCCAGGCUCAUCCUAGACUCUGCCCCUCCCCUCCCUCACCCCACAUAACUAAUCAAUUGUCAAAUAUGAUCGAUUCUACCCCCACAAUAUUUCACAUAGAGGUCCCCCUUUCCCUCCCCCUCCCCCUCCGUUACAAGCUCAGGUCCUCCUUACCUCCGCCCCGGACCAGCCGUUCGCCAUCUAGCUGCAGCCUACCUGUUCAUUCAUUCAUUCAUUCAUUCGUUCGUUCGUUCGUCUACUCACUCAUUCAACAAGCAUUUAUUAAGCAUCUACUAUAUUCAUCAAGGAAAUACUUAUCUGCGUACCUGCCGCAUGGCCGCCUUCGAGGGGGAGGGGUGAGCCACCCCAAGCCCUCGCACAUAGUAGGUGGUUAAUAAAUGCCCACUGGGCUGUAUUGGAUAGGAGGAGUGAGGAAAGAGCACGAACGAGUUGGGCCGCGAGGCUCUUUAAGACCGGCCGAAACCUCGCCAGGUUCACCCUUUCCCCCCUCCAGCCUGUCCAGUACCUGGGGCCCUCAGGGCAGCGGGCCGCGAGCCCGGCGGGGAUGGGGGGAGACGGCCGGGUCCCGGCAGGAGGCGCCGCUGUCCGGGGUGCUGGGGCGGCCCGGGGCCGUCGAGCGGGAGCCGCCGCCGCCGCCGCUGCGAGCCGCGCCGGGAGGCUGAGGCCGGGGCCGGAGCCGAGGCCGCGCGAAGACCGGCCGUCGCGAGGUUCGAGCUGGAGCUGCGACUGCGACUGCAGACGAGCCACCUACAGACUGCAGAGGGAACGCCCAGGGUUGCCGCAGUGGCCACUC